AUGAAUUUGAAUGUGAUGUUUUCUACUGACACUUAAGUUUUCCUACAUUAAGAGGAUAGAAAAAGGAGCUGAGAUCUCAAACGCUUUAAAUAGUGAGAACUUGAAAAUUGAUUUAGUACUAGUUUUCUUGACAUCCAUAAUCUUUUAAAGUUAGCAUAAGAUCACAACAUUUUGUGUUCAUGUAAACGUCUUCUUUUACUUAAAUGGGAUAUCCACAAACCCGCACAUGCUAGAAAUAAAUUGACUAAAUGUUUUACAUAAAACGUGGUGCCACGUGAUGACAAAUGUACAUUUAACACAAGGAACUAGGUUGCACUGACUCAGUCUCCCUGUAUCA